AUAGCAGCCUCAAAUGUAUAGAUCAAAUUGUCAUGGAGAGAUAUAAUAAGUUCAAAGGGGUUUGUCACCAAUACAAUCAUAAGUGCAAAUGUGAACAUAACUUCCCACAAGAUCUGCCAUUUCCUUCAGAGAAAUUGGUUUCUCCAUAAACCUAGGUCCAUUAAAAUUUUAGAACAUAAUGGGUAAUGGAACUUAAAUCUUUACAAGAAAAGAAAAGGUAUCACCACAAGAAAAUUCAAAAGAAAAAAAAUCUCAGC
rnacentral:lncRNA from 1 species